rnacentral:rRNA from 1 species
CAGCAGUGGGGAAUAUUGGGCAAUGGGCGAAAGCCUGACCCAGCAACGCCGCGUGAGUGAUGAAGGCCUUCGGGUUGUAAAACUCUUUGGACAGGGACGAAGAAAGUGACGGUACCUGUAGAACAAGCCACGGCUAACUACGUGCCAGCAGCCGCGGUAAUACGUAGGUGGCGAGCGUUAUCCGGAUUUACUGGGCGUAAAGGGCGUGUAGGCGGCUAGAUAAGUGUGAUGUUUAAAUCCAAGGCUUAACCUUGGGGUUCAUUACAAACUGUUUAGCUUGAGUGCUGGAGAGGAUAGUGGAAUUCCUAGUGUAGCGGUAAAAUGCGUAGAUAUUAGGAGGAACACCGGUGGCGAAGGCGGCUAUCUGGACAGUAACUGACGCUGAGGCGCGAAAGCGUGGGGAGCAAACAGGAUUAGA